GGAGUUGUCAUCUAGCGGCCUAGGAUGAAACGUUCUCAGCGUUUACACACGGGUUCGAAUCCCGUCAACUCUACCA
rnacentral:tRNA from 1 species